rnacentral:rRNA from 1 species
AUUGAACGCUGGCGGCAUGCCUUACACAUGCAAGUCGAACGGUAACAGGUCUUCGGAUGCUGACGAGUGGCGAACGGGUGAGUAAUACAUCGGAACGUGCCUAGUAGUGGGGGAUAACUACUCGAAAGAGUGGCUAAUACCGCAUGAGAUCUACGGACGAAAGCAGGGGAUCGAAAGACCUUGUGCUACUAGAGCGGCCGAUGGCAGAUUAGGGAGUUGGGGGGAUAAAAGAUUACCAAGCCGACGAUCUGUAGCUGGUCUGAGAGGACGAUCAGCCACACUGGGACUGAGACACGGCCCAGACUCCUACGGGAGGCAGCAGUGGGGAAUUUUGGACAAUGGGCGAAAGCCUGAUCCAGCAAUGCCGCGUGCAGGAUGAAGGCCUUCGGGUUGUAAACUGCUUUUGUACGGAACGAAAAGCCCCGGGUUAAUACCCUGGGGUCAUGACGGUACCGUAAGAAUAAGCACCGGCUAACUACGUGCCAGCCGCUGCGGUAA